rnacentral:rRNA from 1 species
AUUGAACGCUGGCGGCAGGCCUAACACAUGCAAGUCGAGCGCGCGGCGGACGGGUGAGUACUAUAUCGGGACUGCCCUCUAUAGGGGGAUAACUACUGGAAACGGUAGCUAAUACCUCAUACUAUCGGCUAACCCCUAUGGGAUUAGCUAGUAGGUGAGGUAAUGGCUCACCUAGGCGACGCUCCCUAGCUGGUCUGAGAGGAUGAUCAGCCACACUGGGACUGAGACACGGUCCAGACUCCUACGGAGGCAGCAGUGGGGAAUAUUGCACAAUGGGCGCAAGCCUGAUGCAGCCAUGCCGCGUGUAUGAAGAAGGCCCUAGGGUUGUAAAGUACUUUCAGUCGGGAGGCGUUACCGACAGAAGAAGCACCGGCUAACUCCGUGCCAGCAGCCGCGGUAAUUC